rnacentral:snRNA from 1 species
GAAAGUGAAGGUGACCCGGCUGGGCCCUGAUCAGCAGCAUUGAUUCAGGGUUGAUUCAGUUGAUCUGACUGAGCAGGUGAGUUCCCCUUUCUUCCCUCAUUCCUCUUGAGGCCUUCAUACUUGGGCAAAGAAAGUGACUUUCCUGGGUAGAUGAAGAUUGUUCUUAAGGUAAGAAU